UACAGAGGUCUCAAGCGUUGUUCGGAUUCAUUGGGCGUAAAGGGCGCGUAGGCGGCUUUUUAAGUCGGGUGUGAAAUUUCGGAGCUCAACUCCGAAACUGCAUUCGAUACUGGUGUGCUUGAGGACUGGAGAGGAGACUGGAAUUCAUGGUGUAGCAGUGAAAUGCGUAGAGAUCAUGAGGAAGACCAGUGGCGAAGGCGGGUCUCUGGACAGUUCCUGACACUGAGGCACGAAGGCCAGGGGAGCGAACAGG
rnacentral:rRNA from 1 species